UACAGAGGUGGCAAGCGUUGUUCGGAAUUACUGGGCGUAAAGGGCGAGUAGGUGGCCAUCUAAGUCAGACGUGAAAUCCCCCGGCUUAACCUGGGACUGCGUCUGAUACUGGACGGCUUGAGUAUGGGAGAGGAAUGUAGAAUUCCAGGUGUAGCGGUGAAAUGCGUAGAUAUCUGGAGGAAUACCGGUGGCGAAGGCGGCAUCCUGGACCGACAUUGACGCUGAGG
rnacentral:rRNA from 1 species